GAAGCUGGCUAGACAGUCGCUGUCACACUUUAUCAUGGCAAUUUAUUGCCAUGAUAAAUUGGGGAAGAUCCUUGCGGUCUCCUUCAGGUGAGGGAGGAAAGUCCGGGCUGCAUAGAGCGAGAUGACGGCUAACGGCCGUACGUUGAAAGCUCGGGCAACCGAGUAUAAGGCGCGGAAUAGGGCCACAGAGACGAGCGUAUUAAGUUACGGUGAAACGCGGUAACCUCCAUCUGCAGCAAGACCAAAUAGGCUGGCAUUUUUACGCAAGUAAAUAAGGCGUGGUUCGCGCUGCCAGUGGGUAGGUUGCUUGAGCGUAUGAGUAAUCAUACGCCUAGAUGAAUGACUGUCAGCCUUAGUAAUAAGGCCUACAGAACCCGGCUUAUCGGCCAGCUUCACUU
rnacentral:RNase_P_RNA from 1 species